AGGGAUCUUAGAACAUGGAAUGUCAGAACUGGAAUGGUCAGUUCUCAGACUACAGAUUAGUAAACAAGACUUGGCAUACUCCAGGAAUCCCUACAACUAGGGCAGGUUGAGGCUGUUAAAUCACUUAAGUUUAAGGGUUCUGUACUACUGUAGGAUGUAGGAGUGUCCACACUCAGGCCUAAACUAAUGUGGUGAGCCCCUUCUGCCUUAGGAGAAGUGAAUCCCCAGGAGUCAUGUUCAUAAAACUGGCAGAGGAGGGUCAAACUGGCCCAGGUUGGAAGAAAAACAGAAGUGGCAACAGGAAACUAUCAGAUGACCAGGUUGCCUGUCCAGCACUCUUUGACCCUGUUUGUGGUUCUGAUGGGAAAACCUAUAGCAACAUGUGUAUGUUUAAUGAAGCAAAUAAGAAAAGCAAUGGAAAACUAAACCUGAAACACAAAGGAAAGUGCUGAAUUCCUGGGGGGACCAAAUAUCAGAUUAAUCAUUAUCUAUGUUUUCCUUUAGCUCUUUGCUUCCUAGAGUCUAUUUGUGCUCAGAUUGAGGGUUUGGGGACUUCUAUGAUUGUAUAUCACUAUUCAUUUCAAUGAAUAAUAAAAUCAGCUCUAAACUGGCCUCUUUUUUUUUU
rnacentral:lncRNA from 1 species